rnacentral:rRNA from 1 species
AGAGUUUGAUCCUGGCUCAGAAUCAACGCUGGCGGCGUGCCUAACACAUGCAAGUCGAACGAGAAAGUGGAGCAAUCCAUGAGUAAAGUGGCGCACGGGUGAGUAACACGUGACUAACCUACCCUUGAGUGGGGGAUAACUUCGGGAAACCGAGGCUAAUACCGCAUAAUACCUACGGGUCAAAGGAGCAAUUCGCUUAAGGAGGGGGUCGCGGCAGAUUAGUUAGUUGGCGGGGUAAUGGCCCACCAAGACGAUGAUCUGUAUCCGGCCUGAGAGGGCGCACGGACACACUGGAACUGAAACACGGUCCAGACUCCUACGGGAGGCAGCAGUGGGGAAUUUUGCGCAAUGGGGGAAACCCUGACGCAGCAACGCCGCGUGGAGGAUGAAGUACUUCGGUACGUAAACUCCUUUCGAUCGGGACGAUAAUGACGGUACCGAGAGAAGAAGCCCCGGCUAACUUCGUGCCAGCAGCCGCGGUAAUACGAGGGGGGCGAGCGUUGUUCGGAAUUAUUGGGCGUAAAGGGUGCGUAGGCGGUUUGGUAAGUCUGAUGUGAAAUCUAUGGGCUCAACUCAUAGUCUGCAUCGGAAACUGCCGGGCUUGAGUAUGGGAGAGGUGAGUGGAAUUUCCGGUGUAGCGGUGAAAUGCGUAGAUAUCGGAAGGAACACCUGUGGCGAAAGCGGCUCACUGGACCAUAACUGACGCUGAUGCACGAAAGCUAGGGGAGCAAACAGGAUUAGAUACCCUAGUAGUCC